AUUGUUUUAAUGCUUUGAUGAAGCUCAGCACGCUGCCGAAAUCUCGGCAGUAUUUUUUCUUUUCUUUUUGCAUGUGAGAGAAAGGACAACAAAUUGCAGUUUUAUCCAUUUGUAUUAUUUCUUUAGAAAACUCAACACUCUUUUUGUUGGAGGUGGGGAAAUGAGAAGGUGAUGUUUUGUUUUGCUUUUUUUCCUAUUUUUUUUUUUUAAAGGAGGAGAAGAUGACAGUGUUCUCCCUAAGGAUGAAGUUUGACUUUUGAAACAUAUCACAUGCUUAAAGCACGUUUGAGCUCCUGCAUGAACAGUAAGCUAGCAGAUGGUAGAAAUAUUCUUUAUUAAUUCAAAAAAUAUUUACUGCGGACCUACAAUGUGCCAAGCAUGUCUCCUGACACUGGGGAUAAGCAGUGAACAACAACAAAAAGACAAACUUCUUCCACCCUGAGGCGUAUGUUCUAGGUCUUUGUGGGAAGAAACAAAUCACAAAAGCAAUUAAGAGAGCUCAAACAAUGGGUUACUCUCAUCUGGAUUAUUGUAGUCACCUUGUCACUGGUAUCUCUGCUUUCUCCUAACCCCCAUCUAAUCUCCAAAAAAUCAGAGCAUGUCACUCCUGGCCCCCAAAUCCCCCCAAUGACUCUGCCCUCCCCACCCCACUCAGAAUUAAAGUCAAUGAUCUUUUUUUUUUUUUUUUUUUUUUGAGAUGGAUUCUUGCACUGUCACCCAGGCUGGAGUGCAGUACGUAGUGUGAUCUCAGCUCACUGCAACCUCUGCCUCCCAGAUUCAAGCGAUUCUCCUGCCUUAGCCUCCUGAGUAGCUGGGAUUACAGGUGUGCACAAUGCCUGGCUAAUUUUUAUAUUGUUAGUAGAGUUGGGGUUUCACCAUGUUGGCCAAGCUGGUCUCGAACUCCUGACCUCAGGUGAUCCACCCACCUUGGCCUCGCAAAGUACUGGGAUUACAGGCAUGAGCCACCAUGCCCAGCCUAAAGUCAAUGAUCUCACCACAGACCACAAGGCUACUUUGAUCCAACCAGCCCAUCUUAUAUACUACCACUUUCCAGUUUUCUCACAGUGCUCCAAUCACACUGGCCUUCUUUCUGGACUUUGAACGUGCCAAAUAUACUCUCCUUGAGGGACAGAGCACUUACUGCUACCUUUGUUUGGAAUGUUCUUUCCCAGAUACCCAUGUGGCACACCCGAAUGCUUGAGUGGCCCCUUAUUAGUGAGGCCUUCCUAUAGCAUUAUAUAUAAGAUGGAUGUAAGGUAGGACUCAGAACAUACUCCCUAUCCUCCUUACUCUACUUCACCUGACUCCAAACACUGUCACCAUCUGACGUAGUACAUAUUUUAUGUUUUAUUUGUUUAGCAUCUUUCUCCCUCUAACUAGAAUGCAAGCUCCAUGAGGACAGAGAUUUUUGUUUUGUUUACCGCCAUAUUGUCAGCAGCUAGAGCAAUUUCUGGCAUGUAGUAGCACUCAAUGAAUAUUAAUUGAAUAAAUGAGCUACCUAAAAAAUAACUGCAUUGAUAUCAUAACCCAAGUAGUGUCUGAAAUAAUGUAAUGAAUUACCAGAAUGCAAAUGAAUUAUUUUCCAGAUGUCUUUAAGUUGGGUGUUGGAAAGUCAAUAUGCAUUUUUCCUACAAAUAUAAAGUAAGUGCUAUUAUCCCCAUCUUAUGGAUAAGACAUCUGAUAUUUAGCUUAUGCAACUAUGCCCAUUUUCUGAUUUUGAGGCAAGUACCUCACCACUUAUACUAAAUUUCCAGGUCAGAUCAUAAAACCUUAUGUAAGCCAUAAAAUUCAGAUAUAAAGUAGUCUAAAAAAAGGAAGGACCAGAAUGGAAGAUACCUAUCUUACACACAAACAGCUGUAUCUAGAGUAUAGGUUUCUUAGCUUUCUAGAUGUUUCACCCAGUUAUAGCUGUUCUUUGAUAGUGAUACAGUGAUAGAGGCAGGAGGCAGAGAAAUUCUAGGCAGAUGGGAAGAUCCCUGGCGAAGCACCACCCUAAAGCUGAAAAGCUUGAAACCACUGCCUAAAGUGAGAACUUAUAUUCCCGUUUUCCUGCUUGAAUGUUGUCUUUUCCUAAACUACCCACAGCCUGCCCCACCCUAUCUUGUGCCUAUAAAGACCCCAGACUCAGCCAGCAGAGGGGAGAAACAGCUGGACAUCAGAGAGAAGCAGCCGGACUUCAGAGGGACAGCUUGAUGACAUAACUUUGGAGAAGAAUGCAGCCAGAGAUGGGUGGACUCCAGGGAAAGAUUACCUGCCGCCCCACCCUCUUUUCAGCUCCCCUUCCUGCUGAGAGCCACUUUCAUUGGCAAUAAAAUUCACUGCAUUUGCUAUCCUUCGA